UUACUUUGAGAAAAAAGACUAGCUAACUGUGAACUUUAGCAAUAUAGAGAUUAGCAUGGCCCCUGCACAAUAAUGACAUGCAAAAUCGUGAAGUGUUCCAUAAUUUA